rnacentral:snRNA from 1 species
GGAUGUGAGGGUGAUCUGGCUGCGACAUCUGUCACCCUAGUGAUCACCAGGAUUGAUAUGGCUGAUCUGGUUGGCUAGGCAGGUGUCCCCUUCCUCCCUCACUGCUCCACGUGAAGCUCCUGAAGCUUCCCUCCUGAAGCUCGGUCAGAGAAGAUGACCAUCCCUGAUAGAGGAGGACCGGUCUUCAGUCAAGGGUAUAUGAGUAGCUGUGCUCUCCUGCUAGAACCUCCAAACAAGCUGUUAUAGCAACACAAAACAGACUAAGACAUGCAUUAUCUAUUUUGUGAAAUUAAAGAUCGUGUCU